GCUUCGAUAGCUCAGUUGGCAGUAGCGUGUGCUUCACAUGCACAAGGUCGUGGGUUCAAGCCCCACUCGGAGUA